GAUGAACGCUAGCGACAGGCUUAACACAUGCAAGUCGAGGGGCAGCAUAGAAGUAGCAAUACUUUGGUGGCGACCGGCGCACGGGUGAGUAACGCGUAUGCAACCUACCUAUCAGAGGGGGAUAACCCGGCGAAAGUCGGACUAAUACCGCAUAAAACAGGGGCACCGCAUGGUGAUAUUUGUUAAAGAUUAAUUGCUGAUAGAUGGGCAUGCGUUCCAUUAGGUAGUUGGUGAGGUAAUGGCUCACCAAGCCGACGAUGGAUAGGGGAACUGUGAGGUUGGUCCCCCACACUGGUACUGAGACACGGACCAGACUCCUACGGGAGGCAGCAGUGAGUAAUAUUGGUGAAUGGGCGAGAGCCUGAACCAGCCAAGUCGCGUGAAGGAAGAAGGAUCUAUGGUUCGUAAACUUCUUUUGCAGGGGAAUAAAGUGGAGGACGUGUCCUCUUUUGUAUGUACCCUGAGAAUAAGGAUCGGCUAACUCCGUGCCAGCAGCCGCAGUAACAC
rnacentral:rRNA from 1 species